ACCCGGGUGGCUCAGUCGGUUGAGCAUCCGACUUCGGCUCAGGUCAUGAUCUCGUGGUUCGUGAGUUCGAGCCUCACCUCGGGCU
rnacentral:tRNA from 1 species